rnacentral:rRNA from 1 species
AUACGUAGGGAGCGAGCGUUGUCCGGAAUUACUGGGUGUAAAGGGAGCGUAGGCGGGAGUGCAAGUCAGAUGUGAAAUACAUGGGCUCAACCUAUGGGCUGCAUUUGAAACUGCAUUUCUUGAGUGAAGUAGAGGUAAGCGGAAUUCCUGGUGUAGCGGUGAAAUGCGUAGAUAUCAGGAGGAACACCGGUGGCGAAGGCGGCUUACUGGGCUUUUACUGAUGCUGAGGCUCGAAAGCGUGGGGAGCAAACAGGAUUAGAUACCCUGGUAGUCCACGCUGUAAACGAUGAUUACUAGGUGUGGGGGGACUGACCCCUUCCGUGCCGCAGUUAACACAAUAAGUAAUCCACCUGGGGAGUACGGCCGCAAGGUUGAAACUUAAAGGAAUUGACGGGG